AGAUUGAACGCUGGCGGCAGGCCUAACACAUGCAAGUCGAGCGGCAGCACGGGUACUUGUACCUGGUGGCGAGCGGCGGACGGGUGAGUAAUGCCUAGGAAUCUGCCUGGUAGUGGGGGAUAACGCUCGGAAACGGACGCUAAUACCGCAUACGUCCUGCGGGAGAAAGCAGGGGACCUUCGGGCCUUGCGCUAUCAGAUGAGCCUAGGUCGAUUAGCUAGUGGUGAGGUAAUGGCUCACCAAGGCGACGAUCCGUAACUGGUCUGAGAGGAUGAUCAGUCACACUGGAACUGAGACACGGUCCAGACUCCUAGGGAGCAGCAGGUGGGAAUAGUGGAACAAGUGGGACUAAAGCCUAGACU
rnacentral:rRNA from 1 species